rnacentral:rRNA from 1 species
GGCGGGGAGAGUUUGGUUCUGUCGUCCGAUGAAUUGACGGGAAACUCAAAUGAAUUGACGGGGAAUGGGUGUUCUGCCUUGCCCUUGGGGAUAGGCCUGGGAAACUGGGUCUAAUACCGGAUAUGACCUCGGAAUGCAUGAACUGGGGUGGAAAGAUUUAUCGGUGCGAGAUGGGCCCGCGGCCUAUCAGCUUGUUGGUGAGGUAACGGCUCACCAAGGCGACGACGGGUAGCCGACCUGAGAGGGUGACCGGCCACACUGGGACUGAGACACGGCCCAGACUCCUACGGGAGGCAGCAGUGGGGAAUAUUGCACAAUGGGCGCAAGCCUGAUGCAGCGACGCCGCGUGCGGGAUGACGGCCUUCGGGUUGUAAACCGCUUUUGACAGGGACGAAGCGCAAGUGACUGUACCUGUAGAAUAAGGACCGGCCAACUACGUGCCAGCAGCCGCGGUAAUACGUAGGGUCCGAGCGUUGUCCGGAAUUACUGGGCGUAAAGAGCUUGUAGGCGGUUCGUCGCGUCGUUUGUGAAAACUUGGGGCUCAACCUUAAGCUUGCAGGCGAUACGGGCGGACUGGAGUACUUCAGGGGAGACUGGAAUUCCUGGUGUAUCGGUGAAAUGCGCAGAUAUCAGGAGGAACACCGGUGGCGAAGGCGGGUCUCUGGGAAGUAACUGACGCUGAGAAGCGAAAGCAUGGGUAGCAAACAGGAUUAGAUACCCUGGUAGUCCAUGCCGUAAACGGUGGGUACUAGGUGUGGGGCUCCUUCCACGGACUCCGUGCCGUAGCUAACGCAUUAAGUACCCCGCCUGGGGAGUACGGCCGCAAGGCUAAAACUCAAAUGAAUUGACGGGG